AGGAAUACCGGUGGCGAAGGCGGCCCCCUGGACAAAGACUGACGUUCAGGUGCGAAAGCGUGGGGAGCAAACAGGAUUAGAUACCAUGGUAGUCCACGCCGUAAACGAUGUCGAUUUGGAGGUUGUGCACUUGAGGCGUGGCUUCCGGAGCUAACGCGUUAAAUCGACCGCCUGGGGAGUACGGCCGCAAGGUUAAAACUCAAAUGAAUUGACGGGGGCCCGCACAAGCGGUGGAGCAUGUGGUUUAAUUCGAUGCAACGCGAAGAACCUUACCUGGUCUUGACAUCCACAGAACUUUCCAGAGAUGGAUUGGUGCCUUCGGGAACUGUGAGACAGGUGCUGCAUGGCUGUCGUCAGCUCGUGUUGUGAAAUGUUGGGUUAAGUCCCGCAACGAGCGCAACCCUUAUCCUUUGUUGCCAGCGGUUAGGCCGGGAACUCAAAGGAGACUGCCAGUGAUAAACUGGAGGAAGGUGGGGAUGACGUCAAGUCAUCAUGGCCCUUACGACCAGGGCUACACACGUGCUACAAUGGCGCAUACAAAGAGAAGCGACCUCGCGAGAGCAAGCGGUCCUCAUAAAGUGCGUCGUAGUCCGGAUUGGAGUCUGCAACUCGACUCCAUGAAGUCGGAAUCGCUAGUAAUCGUAGAUCAGAAUGCUACGGUGAAUACGUUCCCGGGCCUUGUACACACCGCCCGUCACACCAUGGGAGUGGGUUGCAAAAGAAGUAGGUAGCUUAACCUUCGGGAGGGCGCUUACCACUUUGUGAUUCAUGACUGGGGUGAAGUCGUAACAAGGUAACCA
rnacentral:rRNA from 1 species